AUUUUUUGAGUCGAUAACAACUCUUGCUAUUAAAGUUAUUGCUGAACGAUAUUACGAUUAUUGCCGUGUUAUUAUAAGACGAUACGUCUAUCUUGUACCGAAGGAUGUACUUAUAAAUACUAGAACUUAAAUAUGGAGCAAUGCCGUUGAUGGAUGAAAAUAUGGUUCGAAAUUCGUAGCCAUUUAGCCAAGAAAAGUAAG